rnacentral:misc_RNA from 1 species
CCGAAUUGUCAACACGAGUUGUUGCUGGUCUUCAAACGAGGACAUGUGCACGCUCUGUUUGCACAUCCACUCACACCUGUGCACCCUCCGUAGUUCUACAGCCUGGGGGCUCUGUCCCCCCUGCCGUGGUUCUACGUAUUUACACACACACGCUGUAAUAAAGUCUCAUGGAAUGUAUGCCGCGUUUAACGCAAUACAAUA